GAUGAACGCUAGCUACAGGCUUAACACAUGCAAGUCGAGGGGAAACGACAUCGAAAGCUUGCUUUUGGUGGGCGUCGACCGGCGCACGGGUGAGUAACGCGUAUCCAACCUUCCGUUAAGUAGGGAAUAGCCUUGCGAAAGUAAGAUUAAUGCCCUAUGUGGUGUUUUGAGGACAUCUGAAGAGCACCAAAGGUUUACCGCUUAACGAUGGGGAUGCGUCUGAUUAGGUUGUUGGCGGGGCAACGGCCCACCAAGCCAUCGAUCAGUAGGGGUUCUGAGAGGAAGGUCCCCCACAUUGGAACUGAGACACGGUCCAAACUCCUACGGGAGGCAGCAGUGAGGAAUAUUGGUCAAUGGGCGAGAGCCUGAACCAGCCAAGUAGCGUGCAGGACGACGGCCCUAUGGGUUGUAAACUGCUUUUAUACGGGAAUAAAGUGGGCCACGCGUGGUCUUUUGCAUGUACCGUAUGAAUAAGGACCGGCUAAUUCCGUG
rnacentral:rRNA from 1 species